rnacentral:rRNA from 1 species
AUUGAACGCUGGCGGCAUGCUUUACACAUGCAAGUCGAACGGUAACAGGUUAAGCUGACGAGUGGCGAACGGGUGAGUAAUGCAUCGGAACGUGCCCGGUCGUGGGGGAUAACGCAGCGAAAGCUGCGCUAAUACCGCAUACGAUCUGAGGAUGAAAGCGGGGGACCGUAAGGCCUCGCGCGAUCGGAGCGGCCGAUGUCAGAUUAGGUAGUUGGUGGGGUAAAGGCCUACCAAGCCGACGAUCUGUAGCUGGUCUGAGAGGACGACCAGCCACACUGGGACUGAGACACGGCCCAGACUCCUACGGGAGGCAGCAGUGGGGAAUUUUGGACAAUGGGCGCAAGCCUGAUUCAGCAAUGCCGCGUGCAGGAAGAAGGCCUUCGGGUUGUAAACUGCUUUUGUACGGAGCGAAAAGGCUCUCUCUAAUACAGGGGGCUCAUGACGGUAUCGUAAGAAUAAGCACCGGCUAACUACGUGCCAGCCGCCGCAGUAA